rnacentral:lncRNA from 10 species
GAAUUAGUGAGUACUCAGUGAUUUUAGACGCUUUGCCAUUGGUGAGGAGCAGGGAAGUUCUUUCUCCUUGUUAAAAAAGAGGAUCUGGAAGCUAUAGAAACACACGGCGAUUUCUCAUCUUAAGCAGAGUUCUGGGGUACGUGAUAAAAGAAGAACUUCAGCUGAAUUAAAUUUAAAGGAGUUUGAGCAAUGAAUAAUUCGCGAAUUGGGCAGCCCCCAGAAUCACAGCAGAUUCACAAAGACUCCAGUGCAACCACGUGGUAGAAGAAGAUUUACAGACAAAAAAAAAAAAAAAAUGGAAAUGACAUACAGAAAUUGGAAGGAGAGUACAGAACUGCCGGUUGGUUACAGUAAGCAGUACAAUCAAUGGAUCUUUGAUGGCUGAGACAGGUUGAAAUGGCAAAAAGACAACAGCACCACUUUUGAAAACGACUUUAUGUAGACCACCUCCCUGGCCUCAGCGUCCUCAUCUGAACAAGAAGGGAACUUCCCAGUUCUGACGGUCUAUCGUACAGCAUCUCAGCGUUGUGAUUCUUAAAUAAGUAUUCACUGUACAAUCCUAUAAAGCAGUUGCAGGACUACUGGCUGGCUGGAGCUAGUUCACAAGGACAACCACAUCAGUCAGGAAGACCUGUGACCCAAUGGCUCUCAUGUGCUCAUGGACUAAACAGGAAACAAAAUUCUGCGACCCCAAGUAUGGUAAAUGAUGAAUGGCAAGAAAGCAACUGGUCUAUCUUCUGAUCAUGUAAAUUCCUUUCCUUUAAAGGGAGGUUUGUCUGCCCAGAGGCUUAAAGGCAAAUCAUGAAAUCACGUGUCUUCUGGAAAAAGACACACCAGCUGAUAAAAACAUGGUUUCUCCAAUAAUCAGUUAAAAACAUCAAAAUAUUUAUAAUUAUGUGCUAUUGCUUGAGCUGGCAUUCUCUAUUUCUCAUCACUUUCAUCAACCAAAGUUUAUUAGGGUAUGGAAGUUGAUAAAACUUAGAGAAAAAUCCCAAGGAAAUUCCAUGUCUUUUGUGUUCCCUCAAACUGAAGUUUUCCCAGUAUCUGUUUUCUCCUUAUUGGCAAUGGUGAGAAGGAAUACUAUAUGAAAAGAGAUUUAAAAUCUAUCAUAGACUUUGUCAUAUGAGAACAAUCCUUUCUGGAAAAGAAAUGUAAACUUACAGGGAUUUCUUAAGGGUCUCCAUGGAUAUACACCAUCCCCCUCCUCCAGUAGCUGUUAGCUUUUAUGUGCAAAUGUACUGAACUAGAGACCUAUUAUAUCAAAAGGACAUUUUCAUCCUAGAAUAUUUUUCAGAAAAACAAGCCUCAAAAUGUAACUCUUCUGUGCAGAUGCAAUCACCCAAUCAAUUCUUCUGCUGAUUCAACAUUCUAAUAAGACUAACAAUCCAUUCAUUCAUUCAUUCAUUCAUCCAGCAAACAUUUAUUGAAUGCCCACUACAAAGUUCAGUGUUGUAACGACUGAGGCUCUGAAAAUCAUGGCUCCAAAACUCAAAACCUAUGAAACCUUGGAUAAGUUUCUUAAACUCUCAAGUUUCGGUAUCCUUAUUUAAAAUACUAGUUGCUGGUAUGCAGCUACUUUUUAUGAACCAACCUAGAGAAACCCCAUCCUCCUUAUUCAGAUGCCCUACUGGGAGGAAGGUGCGUGGGUCAACCUAGAGGAAGACUAUGAUAUAUUUUGAAAUGAUCUUAGGAUAGGACACAGAAUCUCAAGCAGGUUGCUCUGGAUCUUUCCACUGUUCCAAGAACAAGGAUCACUCACCAAGGCACUAAAUGCAACCAUUUCUGUUGCAUACAGACAGAGAAAAUUAAUACAUUUAACAAAUGAUUAAAAGAAGUGUUCAGGAAGAAUUCAAUAUAGAAUCACAUAACUAGAAUGGCAACUAUUGAUUAGAUGAGGCUGAAAGGGCAGCUGUGUGUAUUUCAAAGGGCUCUGAAUGCCAGAUGAAAACAUCUGUACACAGAGAGGGGAAGACAUGAAUAGGUUUGAACCCUAAAAAGAUGUUUGUCGACACCAAGCAGACUGGACUGGGGUAGGGAGUGAGUGGAGGCUGUGAAGCCAAUUAAGUUUGUGGUCACAGUUGACAUAAGAAUGUAAGGAAGAAAAAAGGCUUCAAUAGCAUAAUGCUUUAAUACCAUGCUUCUCAGCCUUGAGUAUUGCAUGGGCCAUUUGUAAACAAUUUACAAAGUUAAGUUGUUAUUAUCAUAGUGUUAUUUAAAGGUGUACAAUAUUCCUUAUACCUAUAGCGCCAAUGAAAGUAAAACCAAAACGAAGUUACAAACCCAGGUAAUAUUGUUCUAAAUCUUGUCCUCUUUCUGGCUUUUCGACACCUCUAGGUCUUCCAACCUCCUUCCUCUAAAACUAACGAUUGUCUGAGAGUGUGGCACUUCAAGCAAAAGACCUGGGUUCACACUCUGACUCUGCCACUUACUAGCUGGAGACUUAGGGAAAUUGCUUGAUCAAUAUGAGCCUCAAUUUCUUCAUCUAUAAAGUCAGCAGAAUAACCUACCCCAUACAGUUUUUGUAAGAAUCAAAACAAUUAUGUGGAAAGCACUCUGUUACCCAUGAGUUCUCACUAACACAAUCUUGUGGACUUGCAUUAAUAUGCAAAAGACAACAGAAGUUUACUAAAGUAAGUGACAUUUUUUGGAAGGGUUCUGAACUAUUAAUAUUUUAAAAGAGAAAAAAAUCAAAAAAUGUUUAUAAGAACAAGACAAUCAUUUAUUCUUAACUACUCAAACUCAGAGGAUCAUGUGUGCCUCCAUUUCAUGCCAUCAUUUGCAGAGGAGGAAAAGUAGACAGGUUGAGGGCCCGUGUGUGUUGCUGACAAAGGCAAACUGAGCCCAGGCCUUGUGGCUCCCAGAUCUGUUCACCAAUUAAAAGCUACAAACUUCAUUGAUAAUGCUUAUAGCCAGCUAAAACAGCACCUUCUUUGGAAAGCAGCACCUGGGACCCUUCCACAAACUCUCUGCAAUGUGCUAACACAAGUCUCAAAGACCGGGCAUUUCCCAGGGAAGAUGGAGGACACCACACCUCAGAACCUUUGCUACCCUCUGAGACAAGGCUCACUCUCCAUGUGAGAGACCUCACUUAAGUGAAAAGAGGGAAGCAGUAAUCCAGCUCAGGAUCAAUAGAAAGAAUCAACUAAGUCUUCCUGUGUAGAUCUAUUUCAUACCAAGGACUUCAUGUCUUCAAUUUGGAAAGAAGUUCAAAGAAAAAAUCAGGGACAAGAUUACACAAUUUACAAACUGACUUCACACACAUCAUAUUUGAUCCACAUGGUCACCAUGCUAGAUUGAUAUUAUGACCCAAAAACACUCUCCAACAAAAACAACAUGUUUAUUUCUAUUGUCUUAAUCUUAAGCAAAAAAUUUUACUUGAUUUUUCCGUUUCUUCUGUUCUUGGAGAAAAACUUGGCACACCUUUAAAGCAGUAGUGAACUUCCCAUUUUUGAGGAGGCUUAAAUAUUAUUUAUAAAAAUAGCAAAUAAAAUGUUACCCCACCAUUCCUCCUUCUUGAAAUUAAUAUGGUACAGUGCCAAAUUCCAUUCAUCCUUUCACUUAUUCAUAAAACAAACACAUUGGUAGCACCCAGGAUAUGCCACCAUUGUUUUAUCCUGGAGGACAUAAAAAUGAAAACAACCAAAGUCUCUACACUCUGAUCAUAAAAUCAAUAUUAAUAAAAAAUUAUAGCCCGCAAUGUGGACUGAUGUCAAAAAUCAUGAAUUCAGGGUAAAAAGAAAGUUACUAAAGACUGGGAUGACUGUACAAAUACACAGGAAAGAAGUCAUCAACAAAAAAUUCUAAAAAUGCCUCAAGGUUUGGGCCAUUCCUUCGAGAACAGCAUAUAUAGUAGGGCCUGUGAUGGAUGGCCAAUACAAAAACGCUCUGACACUAACUUAAUUUGCAACUUAACAAGAGUAUUAACUGUGUACUUUUAACAUAAAAUAAAAUGGGUGACUAUCUUUCCACAACUUUUAAUAUUUAUUCUGUGUUUUUUAGCUUGUCCUUUAAAAAAUGAAGAAUCCAUUAACAUUAGUUUUCAGGUUACCAUCUUAGGCAACUAAAUAUGAAUAAUCAAUGCAAAUUAACCAAUAUUAUAUAAGGAAAUUUGACUUAUCUUUCAACCUAAGCAGACAUGAUUUUUUUUUUUUUUUUUUUUUGAGAUGGAGUCUCGCUGUCACCCAGGCUGGAGUAUAGUGGCGCGAUCUCAGCUCACUGCAACCGCUUCCUGGGUUCAAGUAAUUCUUCUGCCUCAGCCUCCUG